GCGAUAAGCGCCGGUAAGGUGAUAUGAACCGUUAUAACCGGCGAUACCCGAAUGGGGAAACCCAGUGUGACUCGUCACACUAUCAUUAACUGAAUCCAUAGGUUAAUGAGGCGAACCGGGGGAACUGAAACAUCUAAGUACCCCGAGGAAAAGAAAUCAACCGAGAUUCCCCCAGUAGCGGCGAGCGAACGGGGAGGAGCCCAGAGCCUGAAUCAGCAUGUGUGUUAGUGGAAGCGUCUGGAAAGGCGCGCGAUACAGGGUGACAGCCCCGUACACAAAAGCGCAUGUGCUGUGAGCUCGAUGAGUAGGGCGGGACACGUGGUAUCCUGUCUGAAUAUGGGGGGACCAUCCUCCAAGGCUAAAUACUCCUGACUGACCGAUAGUGAACCAGUACCGUGAGGGAAAGGCGAAAAGAACCCCGGCGAGGGGAGUGAAAAAGAACCUGAAACCGUGUACGUACAAGCAGUGGGAGCACCCUUUGGGUGUGACUGCGUACCUUUUGUAUAAUGGGUCAGCGACUUAUAUUCUGUAGCAAGGUUAACCGAAUAGGGGAGCCGGAGGGAAACCGAGUCUUAACCGGGCGUUAAGUUGCAGGGUAUAGACCCGAAACCCGGUGAUCUAGCCAUGGGCAGGUUGAAGGUUGGGUAACACUAACUGGAGGACCGAACCGACUAAUGUUGAAAAAUUAGCGGAUGACCUGUGGCUGGGGGUGAAAGGCCAAUCAAACCGGGAGAUAGCUGGUUCUCCCCGAAAGCUAUUUAGGUAGCGCCUCGUGAAUUCAUCUCCGGGGGUAGAGCACUGUUUCGGCUAGGGGGCCAUCCCGGCUUACCAACCCGAUGCAAACUGCGAAUACCGGAGAAUGUUAUCACGGGAGACACACGGCGGGUGCUAACGUCCGUCGUGAAGAGGGAAACAACCCAGACCGCCAGCUAAGGUCCCAAAGUCAUGGUUAAGUGGGAAACGAUGUGGGAAGGCCCAGACAGCCAGGAUGUUGGCUUAGAAGCAGCCAUCAUUUAAAGAAAGCGUAAUAGCUCACUGGUCGAGUCGGCCUGCGCGGAAGAUGUAACGGGGCUAAACCAUGCACCGAAGCUGCGGCAGCGACACUGUGUGUUGUUGGGUAGGGGAGCGUUCUGUAAGCCUGUGAAGGUGUGUCGUGAGGCAUGCUGGAGGUAUCAGAAGUGCGAAUGCUGACAUAAGUAACGAUAAAGCGGGUGAAAAGCCCGCUCGCCGGAAGACCAAGGGUUCCUGUCCAACGUUAAUCGGGGCAGGGUGAGUCGACCCCUAAGGCGAGGCCGAAAGGCGUAGUCGAUGGGAAACGGGUUAAUAUUCCCGUACUUGGUGUUACUGCGAAGGGGGGACGGAGAAGGCUAUGUUGGCCGGG
rnacentral:rRNA from 2 species